GAUGAAGAACGUAGCGAAAUGCGAUACGUAAUGUGAAUUGCAGAAUUCAGUGAAUCAUCGAGUCUUUGAACGCACAUUGCGCCCCCUGGUAUUCCGGGGGGCAUGCCUGUCCGAGCGUCAUUGCUGCCCUCAAGCACGGCUUGUGUGUUGGGCCUCCGUCCUCCUCCCGGGGGACGGGCCCGAAAGGCAGCGGCGGCACCGCGUCCGGUCCUCGAGCGUAUGGGGCUUCGUCACCCGCUCUUGUAGGCCCGGCCGGCGCUUGCCGACACAUCAAUCUUUUUUCCAGGUUGACCUCGGAUCAGGUAGGGAUACCCGCUGAACUUAAGCAUAUCAUAACGGAGGA
rnacentral:misc_RNA from 1 species